UACAGAGGGUGCAAGCGUUGCUCGGAAUCAUUGGGCGUAAAGGGUAGGUAGGCGGUCUCAUUUGUCUGAUGUGAAAGCCCUGGGCUUAACCCGGGAAGUGCAUCGGAAACGGUGGGACUCGAGUACUGGAGAGGUAAGCAGAAUUCCCGGUGUAGCGGUGAAAUGCGUAGAGAUCGGGAGGAAUACCAGCGGCGAAGGCGGCUUACUGGACAGUGACUGACGCUGAACUACGAAAGCGUGGGUAGCAAACAGG
rnacentral:rRNA from 1 species